rnacentral:rRNA from 1 species
UACGGAGGGAGCUAGCGUUGUUCGGAAUUACUGGGCGUAAAGCGCACGUAGGCGGCUUUGUAAGUUAGAGGUGAAAGCCCGGAGCUCAACUCCGGAACUGCCUUUAAGACUGCAUCGCUUGAAUCCAGGAGAGGUGAGUGGAAUUCCGAGUGUAGAGGUGAAAUUCGUAGAUAUUCGGAAGAACACCAGUGGCGAAGGCGGCUCACUGGACUGGUAUUGACGCUGAGGUGGCGAAAGCGUGGGGAGCAAACACGG